rnacentral:rRNA from 1 species
UUAUUAAUUUAAUAGAAAUUUGUGUUUAUUAUAGUAUAUUAGUAAAGUGAUUGAAUUUAUUUAUAUUUUAAAAAGUAUAAUUUAUUUUUUGUACCUUGUGUAUCAGGGUUUAUUAAUUAAAAGUUUAUUAUAAAAUUUUCUCGAAUUAAAAGUUCUAAUUAAUUAUAUGUUUAGUUUUUUCAUAAAUUUUCAUAAUUUUUAAUUAGAAAUGAAAUGUUAUUCGUUUUUUGAUAUAUCUAGUUUUUUAAGAAAACAAUUUAAUUCUCUUAUUAUUUAUUUAUUAAUUAAUUUUUAAUUAAUAAAUUUUAGUAUGAAAUAUUUAAAGGGAUAAGCUUUUAUUUAUAUAAUUAAAAAUUUAUGUGUAUUUUAUUUUUAGUAUAAUUUAUAUUGUUAAUCAUAUAAAUAAUUUAAUAUUUAAUUUUAUUUUUAUUUAAGAUUUGUAUUAAUUUUAAUUUUUAUAUUCAAAUUUUUGUUUAAUUUUAUUUGUUUAGUUAUAAUGAUUGAAUUAGUAGAAAAUAUGUAAGAAAUAUUUUAAUUUUUAGGUAAAUAAAGGAACUCGGCAAAUUAAAUUCUACCUGUUUAUUAAAACAUGUCAUUUUGAUUAUAAUUUAAGGUUUAAUCUGCUCAAUGAAUAUUUAAAUUGCCGCAGUAUUUUGACUGUGCAAAGGUAGCAUAAUAAUUAGCUUUUUUAUUGGGAGCUGGAAUGAAUGAUUCGACAAGAAAAAUUCUGUCUCUUUAUUAUUUUUUUGAAUUUUACUUUUGAGUUAAAGGCUCAAAUUUAUUUAAAAGACGAGAUGACCCUAUAGAGUUUAAUUUUUUAUUAUUUAAGAUUUAUUUGAAUUUGAAAAAUUUUAUAUUAUUAAAAAUUUGGUUGGGGUGACUAAAAGAUAUAAUUUACUCUUUUAAUUAUAAUCAAUUAUUUUUGAAUUUUGAAUCUAUUUUUAUAAGUUUAAAUUAAAUUACCUUAGGGAUAACAGCGUAAAUUUUUUUUAGAGUUCUUAUUAAAAGAAAAGUUUGCGACCUCGAUGUUGGAUUAAAAUAUAUUUUAGGUGUAGGAGCUUAAAUAUUAAGUCUGUUCGACUUUUAAAAUUUUACAUGAUCUGAGAUUAAACCGGUGUGAGCCAGGUUGGUUUCUAUCUUUAAAUUUUAAUAAAUUUUAGUACGAAAGGACCAAGUAUUUAAUAAAUUAUUUUAAAUUGAAUAUAAUU